rnacentral:rRNA from 1 species
CAAACCUCAGAAAGCCAAUCUCAGUUCGGAUUGUAGGCUGCAACUCGCCUACAUGAAGUUGGAAUCGCUAGUAAUCGCGAAUCAGAAUGUCGCGGUGAAUACGUUCCCGGGUCUUGUACACACCGCCCGUCACACCACGAGAGUUUACAACACCCGAAGUCAGUGGCCUAACCGCAAGGAGGGAGCUGCCUAAGGUGGGGUAGAUGAUUGGGGUGAAGUCGUAACAAGGUAUC